rnacentral:rRNA from 1 species
UGCCGGCUCGCGGAUUUGGGAGAUCUCUUCUCCUUCAGAAAAGGCUGGACCGUGCACAGUGCGCUGCAUGGCGUAGAUCGUCAGCUCGUGUCGUGAGAUGUUGGGUUAAGUCCCGCAACGAGCGCAACCCUCGUCCUUAGUUGCCAGCAUUGAGUUGGGCACUCUAAGGAAACUGCCGGUGAUAAGCCGGAGGAAGGUGGGGAUGACGUCAAGUCCUCAUGGCCCUUACACGCUGGGCUACACACGUGCUACAAUGGCGGUGACAGUGGGCAGCAAGCACGCGAGUGUGAGCUAAUCUCCAAAAGCCGUCUCAGUUCGGAUUGUUCUCUGCAACUCGAGAGCAUGAAGGCGGAAUCGCUAGUAAUCGCGGAUCAGCAUGCCGCGGUGAAUACGUUCCCGGGUCUUGUACACACCG